CAGCUGUAGGGUAUAUUACACUGCUAUACUCCACAGUUUACCGUAAUUAAACUAAAGUACACUCCAGUCUAUACUAACCCUGCGCCAAUCAUAAUGGACCAAUCAUAACGGGUUAAUUUCAAUCUAUCGACAUGUGGAAGCGUCUUCAUUAUCUGAUCACCGCUGUUUUCUCAACCAUCUUGUUUGUUUAGUUUUUGAAAUGAAAGAUAAUUCUGAUUAUUGAAUCACGUUCAUAAAACCACCAGUGGGAAUUUAUGCGCAAUUCUAUACAACUGCAGUUCACUGAUUGGCCAGCGGUGGCGCCAACUAGCACAAGUUUCUGAAUUCCACGCGCAGCCUCUUUAACUUUCCUCAUAAUAUUAGCGUUAGCGUGUUUUACCUGUCGAUGACUGUUUUGUCAGGUCGCCAUGGAAACGGCCCAGAUCCUGUUCCAUUGCUUCUUCUACUGUAGGCGUUUGUGAGACACUGCGCGGAGGCGAGACAUCUCUAAACUAGCUGAGUCUGCCUCUCACCACUUGUGACCUCUCGUGACGCAGACGGUCACCAUGGCAUGUCUUCAGCUGGCGUCUAAGAUCGAGGAGGAGCCGCGGCGAGUUCAGGAUGUGCUGAACGUCUUCCAACACCUCAGACACAGGUGACACUGUUGCUCACCUGCACUACAUGUACAAGUGACGUUUAUUAAUAAACUAAUGUCAAGAGGAUCAAGUGCUUAUGAUUGAUCACAGCUAGUCCUGUAUUAUAUACAAUAUAUGCCACAAGAUUCCCCUGGUGGAGCUGGAGAAAGAGUCUGGGGUUCUCUCUUAAGACCGCUGCCCACAUGACCUGGCCCCAGAAAAGUACAACGUUACUGACAACGUUACUGACGACAUUAAGUGUUCAUUAUUCUCUAAUUAUUCACCAGCCCAUCAUCAGUUAUUCCUUACAUGGUUAAUCUCUCAAUAUUCCUCAGCAUCUCCUGCAGAAACCCAAAAGAACCAUGAAUCUCCACUGUCACAUCUGGCGCUCAAGAACGUCUGUCGAAAGAUCUGGAGGAGAGACAUCAGGAAGCGCAGUGAUGAGCGCCAUAACACCCGCUGCAUCCGGUCGUCUCCCAGACGCAGACGCAGACGCAGUGUCUCCUCUCCAUCUACAUCCCACAGACACUGACAGCGGGAGCAAGUGCUGAAAAAAGGAUGAUGUCAUCAGGUGUAAAGGGGAGGGACCCAAAACCGACCAAUCAGACCGCAUCUGUAAACCCUCUUAUGCUGCCAGUGUUGGGGAAGUUACUUGUAAUAGUGUUAGAUCGUGGUCUUGAGUUACUACUUUUCAAGGAAAGUAACGUGUAGCAGCAUUUUUCAGUACUGUUUAUAUCUGGCCUGGGUUUGCCUGUUUGAUGGAAUAUAAUUAAUAAACAAACAAGUUUUGAAUGACUGAAGGAAAGGUAGAUUCAUGACUGCACAGUUGAGCUCAAACAAAACAAACAAGCCCUCAACUUUCUUCACAAGGUCAACAUUUUCCGCGAUGUUUACAGUAUUCAGAGUUUUUCAUUUCACAGCUGUUGUUCACUUUAAGGGACACUGUGACUCUCUUUGUGCAGGAGAGAUGAGUAAACAUGUUCACAUGAAGCAGAACUACCUCUAGUAAGCACUAUAUAGACACAUCUGACUUCUCCCGCCUCUGGAAUUCAUGUCAGACAGUACAUGAGGGAAAAUCAGUUUAUUUUUCUUAAAGAUGAACUCUGGAUGAGUUUAAUGUCAUUAAUUAUUUGUAUUGUGAGUUGUGAGCAAUGCCUUACUAGUUACUUCACAAAAGUAAUCUGAUUACAUAAGUCACAUUACACGUAGUGCAUUAGCUCUGUACAGCCUUUUAAAAGACAAGAGUUUAAUAAAAUUCAUCCCUUUUAAAAAC